rnacentral:rRNA from 1 species
AGUGAACGCUGGCGGCGUGCUUAACACAUGCAAGUCGAACGAGAACGGAAUAUAGCUUGCUAUAUUUGUCAGCUAAGUGGCGCACGGGUGAGUAAUGUAUAGAUAACCUGCCCUUAAGAAAGGAAUAACAGUUGGAAACGACUGCUAAUGCCCUAUAUGCCUUUAAUACAUAAGUAUGCAAGGGAAAGGCUUUAGUGCUUAAGGAUGGGUCUGUAUGGUAUCAGCUUGUUGGUGAGGUAAUGGCUCACCAAGGCUAUGAGGCCUAACUGGUUUGAGAGGAUGAUCAGUCACACUGGAACUGAGACACGGUCCAGACUCCUACGGGAGGCAGCAGUGGGGAAUAUUGCACAAUGGACGAAAGUCUGAUGCAGCAACGCCGCGUGGAGGAUGACACAUUUCGGUGCGUAAACUCCUUUUAUAUAGGAAGAUAAUGACGGUACUAUAUGAAUAAGCACCGGCUAACUCCGUGCCAGCAGCCGCCGUAAUAC